rnacentral:piRNA from 1 species
AAAGAUAUUAUAGGAUAUUAUAGGAUUUGAG